GUGGGGAAUAUUGGACAAUGGGCGAAAGCCUGAUCCAGCCAUGCCGCGUGUGUGAAGAAGGCCUUCGGGUUGUAAAGCACUUUUGUACGGGAAGAAAAGCCCUGGGUUAAUACCCUGGGGUCAUGACGGUACCGUAAGAAUAAGCACCGGCUAACUUCGUGCCAGCAGCCGCGGUAAUACGAAGGGUGCAAGCGUUACUCGGAAUUACUGGGCGUAAAGCGUGCGUAGGUGGUCUGUCAAGUCCGAUGUGAAAGCCCUGGGCUCAACCUGGGAACUGCAUUGGAAACUGGCAGUCUGGAGUGCGGUAGAGGGUAGCGGAAUUCCCGGUGUAGCAGUGAAAUGCGUAGAUAUCGGGAGGAACAUCCGUGGCGAAGGCGGCUACCUGGACCAGCACUGACACUGAGGCACGAAAGCGUGGGGAGCAAACAGGAUUAGAUACCCUUGUAGUCC
rnacentral:rRNA from 1 species